rnacentral:rRNA from 1 species
GAUGAACGCUGGCGGCGUGCCUAAUACAUGCAAGUCGAGCGAACAGACGAGGAGCUUGCUCCUCUGACGUUAGCGGCGGACGGGUGAGUAACACGUGGAUAACCUACCUAUAAGACUGGGAUAACUUCGGGAAACCGGAGCUAAUACCGGAUAAUAUAUUGAACCGCAUGGUUCAAUAGUGAAAGACGGUUUUGCUGUCACUUAUAGAUGGAUCCGCGCCGCAUUAGCUAGUUGGUAAGGUAACGGCUUACCAAGGCAACGAUGCGUAGCCGACCUGAGAGGGGGAUCGGCCACACUGGAACUGAGACACGGAUCAGACUACUACUGGAAGGAGCAGUCGGGAAUCUUUCGGAAUAGGAGAAAAGCUCACCGAGCAAAGGCGGGUGAGAGAUGAAGGUCAUCGGAUCGGAAAACUGUGUUAUUAGGGAAGAACAAAUGUGUAAGUAACUAUGCACGUCUUGACGGUACCUAAUCAGAAAGCCACGGCUAACUACGUG